rnacentral:lncRNA from 1 species
UGGAGGGAGUUCGAGAACGUGGUCGAGCUUCACUCGAUCCUUUUUCAACUGUGGGCUUGCUGGAGUCACCCACCUGCCGCUUCUUCACGACCUCCUUGUCCUUUAUCUUGAAGGCUUCCUCUACUCGGGCAUACCCUUCGACCCGAGCCAGCAAAUUAGCAAAGUCCCUGGGAUACUUCUUUUUUAGAGAAAAUAGAAGAUCAUUCUUUUGAAGACUGCUCUUCAGGGUGGCCAUUGCAACUGAUUGGUCCAAGUUUCGAACCUCCAAUGCGGCAAUGUUAAAAUGGUUGACGUAAGUUCGGAUGGAUUCUCUCUCCUUUUGCUUGAU